GCGAAAAAACCUAGAACAUUAUAACAGGUGAUUAUAUUCUGGUAGUGGAAGUACGAA
rnacentral:rRNA from 1 species